UACGAAGGGAGCUAGCGUUGUUCGGAAUCACUGGGCGUAAAGCGCACGUAGGCGGAUGUGUCAGUCAGGGGUGAAAUCCCGGAGCUCAACUUCGGAACUGCCUUUGAUACAGCACGUCUUGAGUCCGAUAGAGGUGGGUGGAAUUCCUAGUGUAGAGGUGAAAUUCGUAGAUAUUAGGAAGAACACCGGUGGCGAAGGCGGCCCCCUGGGCCGUACCUGACGCUGAGGCGCGAAGGCUAGGGGAGCGAACGGG
rnacentral:rRNA from 1 species